rnacentral:rRNA from 1 species
GAUGAACGCUAGCGGCAGGCUUAACACAUGCAAGUCGAGGGGCAUCACGGGUAGCAAUACCUGGUGGCGACCGGCGCAAGGGUGCGUAACGCGUGAGCAACAUGCCCUAUACAGGGGGAUAAUCCAGGGAAACUUGGUCUAAUAUCCCAUAGCAUUUAGAGGUGGCAUCACCAUUAAAUUAAAGCUUCGGUGGUAUAGGAUUGGCUCGCGUGACAUUAGCUAGAUGGUGGGGUAACGGCUCACCAUGGCUAUGAUGUCUAGGGGUUCUGAGAGGAAGACCCCCCAACUGGGACUGAGACACGGCCCAGACUCCUACGGGAGGCAGCAGUGAGGAAUAUUGGUCAAUGGGCGGAAGCCUGAACCAGCCAUGCCGCGUGCAGGAAGGAGGCCCUACGGGUUGUAAACUGCUUUUACCCGGGAAGAAACCGCCCCUGUGGGGGCGUUGCCGGUACCGGGGAAAAGGUCGGCUAACUCCGUGCCAGCAGCCGCGGUAAGCUGUAGUCGU